rnacentral:rRNA from 1 species
UACGGGAGGCAGCAGUGGGGAAUAUUGCACAAUGGGCGAAAGCCUGAUGCAGCUAUGCCGCGUGUAUGAAGAAGGCCUUAGGGUUGUAAAGUACUUUCAUCGGGGAGGAAAAACAAAACUAAUAAUUUUAUUUCUUGACGUUACCCGAAAAAGAAGCACCGGCUAACUCCGUGCCAGCAGCCGCGGUAAUACGGAGGGUGCUAGCGUUAAUCAGAAUUACUGGGCGUAAAGAGCACGUAGGUGGUUUUUUUAAGUCAGAUGUGAAAUCCCUGGGCUUAACCUAGGAACUGCAUUUUGAAACUGAAAUACUAGAGUAUCGUAGAGGGAGGUAGAAUUCUAGGUGUAGCGGUGAAAUGCGUAGAUAUCUGGAGGAAUACCUGUGGCGAAAGCGGCCUCCUAAACGAAUACUGACACUGAGGUGCGAAAGCGUGGGGAGCAAACAGGGAUUAGAUA